ensembl:lncRNA
GGAGAAAAGGAGUUUUGCUCUUCGCUUCUUCUUCUGGCUGCCGAGGGCCAGAGGCAGCCACCAGCCUACCCCUCCAGGCAACCCCCUCCCCGCCCGGCUGCUUCCUCUCUCCAGAGGCCGGACCCGCGGCUGGCUGGCGCCGCGGCUGCUUUUCCACGUCCCGAUUUCUCCGCAGUCUGCAGUCUAUCCCCGUCUGCGCCGCGGGACAGAGCACCGGGGCCCGGGAUCCAGAAGCCCCUACCAAUCCGGCCAGCGUCAGUCUCACGCCUGAGGGGCCUGUUCCCGGGUUGCACGCAAAACAGCCCCAGCGACCUCCGGGACGCCACGGGGAGCUCCCAGGCCUCCACCUGGAGAGGACUUGGUAGAGGAAGACAGCCUCCGUGCCGCCUACACGGAGCCAGGCAGCCUUCAGCGCCUCCGAGCCGCCUGCCCGCACUCGCCGACUGGAGGAACCGGAGCUGGCGCCCGAGACGCUGCAGCCCUACUCCCACUCUGGUGAGGAAACCAAGGACUAAAGAGAAGUCACAUAUCUGGGCUCCAGAGCCAGAGUCCUUAACCACUGUACUGCACUGUGCUGGUCCCUGUGCCUGGAAUCUUUGUCCUCUGUCUUCUCUCCAUAAUUACCAGCAACUCAAAACUCCUGCUUCAAAUCUCAGGCCAGCAUCACCUCCUCCCGGAAGCCCCCCACAUUCUUCACAUUGGAUUCAGUGCCCUUCUCAUUGCUCCUGUAGUACCUGUCCAUCCCAUCAUACUCUCUACAUUUUCCUCACAGCCUGGGCCCUGAACACAGCAGGAGGGUUUGUCUCCUGUACCUUUUUCUAGCUCUGACAGCCAGCAUGGUACCUGGAACAUAGUAGAUGUUCGAUAAAUGUUAGAGGGAAGGUGAGAAAGGGAAGGAAGGAAGACAGAAAGGGAUGGGGGAGUGGCAUGGAGACGGAAUGGAGGAAAGUUGUGAAAGAAUUGGGCCCUCUUGGGCAGGAUGAUUCUUCCAGAGAGAGCAGAAGUAGCAGUUGGCUUAGAGGAACUGUGGACACCUUUGCCCUUCCACAAAAUGAGGCCCAGUGAGCUUCCACAUAUCAGUUAGAAACUGCAUCUGCUGACGAUGACAAAGACCCUUAAAGAGUAGCUUAAAGAAUAUGGAUAUUCUCUUCUCUCAGGAUGGAGGUGGACAGUCCAGGCUAAAAAUGGCCCUUGGUUAUCAGGGACCCAGGAUGCUCUGUCUUUGGCUAUAUCAGACCAACCAAGAAGUUUUUUGUUUUUUGGGGUUGUUUUUUUUUUUCUUUUUACAGCUGCACCUGCAGCAUAUGGAAGUUCCUGGGCUAGGGGUCAAAUCAGAGCUGCAGCUGCCAGCCUGCGCUACAGCCACAGCAAUAUCAGAUUCAAGCCACAUCUGCAAGCUAUGCUACAGCUUGUGGCAACACUAGAUCCUUAACCCACUGAGUGAGGCCAGGCAUCGAAGCCGCAUCCUUACAGAGACUACAUUGGGUUUUGAACCUGCUGAGCCCCAGUGGGAACUCUGCCACCAGGAAGCUUUCCUCCUCGCAUCAUCUAAGUCCAAGAUGGCUGCUUGAGCUCAGCAACCAUCACCUCAUUCCAGGCAACAGGAAGGAGCAGUGAAAAGAGGUAAAAGGGUCCCCUCCCUUUUAAUGAGACUUUCUGGAAUCCACUGACAACUUCUCAGCUUAUACCUCAUUGGGCAGACUCUAACCACAUGGCCACACUUAGCUGGAAGGAAGGCUGGGACCUGUUUAGUUGGGUACACUGUUGCCUGAAAUAAACUCAGGGUUCUGUUACUCAGGGGAAUAACAGCAGCAAGGGUGGGAGUUAGGGUAGAACAUCAGUAGACUCCUCAGCAAGCCACAGACAGGGUCACCCAGAACUGGAGUCAGGAAGCAGCUCUCUUGGUGGUGGCCUUCCAGGGGGUCACUGGUUGGUGGCUUGUACCUCUAAACCACAUAUUCUUGUUGACAAAGGAGACAAAGCCCUCAGACAUUGUAACUCUUGUUCGUUUUUGGUGCUCAGAGUUGCCCACUACAAUGAUUUAGAGUGGGAUUUGUCAAAAGUAAUUUUUAUCCCUAUUAAGAUCUUUGGUUAGAGAUCUAUUCAUUUUAGCCCUGAACCCCUCUCACACAAUACCAAUCCAGGAAGAAGCAAUUGUCUUUGAAAAACAACAACAACAAGAAAAUUCCAUGGGGUCAGAGUUCCUAUUGUGACUCAAUGGAUUAAGAUCCCAAUAUAGUGUCCGUGAGGAUGAGGGUUCAAUCCCUGGCAUCGAUCAGUGGGUUAAGGAUCUGGUGUUGUCACAAGCUGUGGCAUAGGUCACACAUGCGACUUGGAUAUGGUGUUGCUGUGGCUGUGGCAGAGGUCUCAGCUGCAGUUCAUAUUUGAACCUUAGCCUGGGAACUUCCAUAUGCCACAGAUGCGGCCCUUAAAAAAAAAAAAAAAAAA